UCAAAGUACACCGACAUAAAACGAAGUCAUGAAUAAAUAAAUGUUGUAAUGCCUGUACCUUCAUGUACAUGUUUACGUUACGGCAUUAACAAGUUACGCCUGCGCGACAGCCGAGAUUCUUGGCGACUUGCCAGGUCUUACCUCCGUGAGUUCGGCUUUUCUGCUGUUGUCCUUCAAAACAAAAGCUCAACAUUUAGCUUUUUCUUGUCUGGUGGAGCAAUCUGGUUUACUUGAAAGUGAUUGCAAUUGUAUUUAUUCUAUUAUUUGAAAAAGCACAGAUGCAGGAGUCACAAAUGGAGAUCUCAUAUUUAUUAUUAUUAUAAUUAUUUAAUUCUUGUUGAAAAAAUCACCAAAUCAAAGACCAGGACCUGGAUUACUGACAGCAGCUCACAGACAGCCUCAGACUGUCUGUCUGCUUAUGAACUAACUACAAGCUCACAGAGUUCAGUCACAGCCGUCACACUGACUGGAGUCACAUGACUUGAUGGCCUUGUGACGAAGCUACACACAGACAGCUGUCUGAAGGUCUGUGGUUUUGGGUUAAUCAUUAUCAAAAAAAUUGCCCCCCCUGAGAAUUUUUUCAGGAGCCGCCACUGGACUCGAGUGUCCAUCAAAAACACACAAAGUCUGAUUUCACAUGAAGUCAGACACCGAAAGAACAAUAAAUAUUCAGAACCAGGAUUUGACCUGAGACCAGAACAUGUAAACCGGGUCCAGACCAGACCAGGUCCACGGGGUCAUGGGUCAUGGACUUCGGGAGGAGGACUAUCAAAAAUGACGAAAAUUGGAUUAAAGCAACAAAACUAAUUCAUUCGCUUCAGGAGAAACCUGCUGGCCCCGAAUCACCACGUCCAGAAAGAACAGCGGGAGUCGCGGUGACUUCAACCCACCUUCAGCAGCUCGUUCCUGGGCAUCGACGUCAGCUUCUCCAGCAUGG